GCCCGGGCGGGGCCGCCGCUGAGCGCCGGUCUGCGGGGGUGUGCGGGGGUGUGCCCACCCUGUGCCCACCCUGUGCCCACCCUGUGGGGAUCUGACACACGCCCCGUCACAGGCACGGCUGCCCUGCCCUCAUCAGCGCCUUAGUGGUGGUACAGCCCGUUGGUGGUGGCUGGGAGUGGCAAAAGAAAGCUGCACAUGUCAGCGAAGGAGCAAAUGUCACCGAACGGGCUAGGAAGAGAAGGAAAAGGCAGAAUAAGUGCAGAGGUUUAUCUGCGGUGUAGCUUGGGAGGAUGCUCGUGGGGCUGGACACGGCUGGUCCUCCAGGCUGUGGCCGUUAGCUGUGUGCGGGUCCCGGAGGCUGGCCUGCCCUCCUGCAUCUUGCUGGUGCACGGUCACAGUGCAGCAGGACCCUGAGCUGCUCUCCUCCAGGAGGACACAGGCUUUGCAGCUGAAGGUAGCACCAAGCUGACAGAGGAGAGGGGUAACCCUCAGGCUAAGGUAAAAAGACACACCUUUGAACCUCAACGUGCUUGUCAAGGAAACACAAACUUUAAAAUCUCAUCUAAUGUUUGGAGAAGAAGAAAAAAAAAAAAAGAUUAGUCAAAGGAUUUGACUGAAACGCUCCAAACCCCAGAUGGAAACUGCGGAGCCCUCCCGACCCCCGGAGCAGCGCCAGGACAGCCCGGGGCUGCCCCAGGAACCCGCCGGCUCCGCAGCCAGCACGGCCGGAGCUGCUGCUUCUCCCGGGCCGGCUGGUGCCGGGUGCUCGGUCCCGGCCCGCGGGGCUGCCGGAGCAGCCCGCACCAGGAAGGGCAGCCCCGAGCAGAGCCCAGGAGGCCGGGCGGGCUGCGUCCCUGCUCUGCUGCUGCGUGUCCUCAGCGACCAGGUCCGUGUGCGGGCUGGAGAGCCCAGCCCUGCUCUUCAGGCGCCUGGGGCGUAACCGGGGAGACCUUGGACCUCUUUGUACUUCCCGCACAAACGCAAAGUUUUAAAAACUCCUCCAAGUAUUCACAAAGUCAACCCAAAUAAUUUAAGUGUUCUGCUUUACUGCUGUCCCUAGUAACAGGGGCAAAUGAUUCAGCGAAAAUCUUAGUAUAAUCCUCCAGAGGUAGAUGAAUGCACAGAUGGAUUUUGGAUGUGUUCCCAAGCUGCUGCAUUGGUUGGGUCCAAAAACUCAUAAUAAAUGAAUUUAACCAGGAAA